rnacentral:tRNA from 1 species
CCCGCCUUAGUUUAGUAGCUAGAACGCUCGGCUGUAGACCGAGAGGUCCCCGGUGCAACUCCGGGAGGCGGGA